CUUUGUGAUUUUUCAAGGUUUUUCUGGACUCUCUGCUUUUGCUUCAAACCAUUUAUUGGCCUUUUUCUUCCUCUCUUCCCCUUUCCUUCAUUUCCCACUUUUUUCAGAGAAACACUUUAAGUUGUGGGGUUAAUGGUGUAUUGACUUUAAAGCUUUUUUCCCACUUGAUUUUACUUCUAAAAGGGAAAGGUCGUUUCAAGCAGAGAAAGCUAUGGAGUGAGUCAUGGUGGGAGUCGCAGCACCAAAAGUAGAGGAGCCACAAGCUCAUCCACCGAAGGAUCAGCUACCCAACGUUUCUUACUGCAUUACUAGUCCACCUCCAUGGCGUGAAUGUCUCUUUUUGCAUAUCUUUUCUUCCCCAUUCAAAAUUGAAUUCCAUUUUCAGAAACGUUACUUCGAUUCUUCUUAGUCUUGUAAGUUUCAGUCUCGUUAGCAAUUUUUAGUUCUUACAGUUUCUUGAUUCAUCACCACCGUGUAUUGAAUCACCACCACCAUUUCAAUCUCAUGAUGUUGGUUUAAAA